AAGAACCGAUUUAAAAUUCAUGCAACCCAGAUGAGCUGACGAGACCAGCACCGCCAGAGGCGCUAGUGUAUUUUACUCAUAUUAUGGUAAAUUUAUUUGAAAGUGUUUGCUGUGAGUUUUGACAGAUUCCUAUAACAUCAAUCCUCAAUGACCCUCUCAGUGUCACCCUCGAUGGAUGGAGCUCGGGCGUAAUAAUAAUCUUCUCCAAUCUAAAUAAUCUUCUCUCGCCCAUCGUGAAGUCCUCCAAGAAAUCCUUCGGGUUAAACGCUAAUUCCACCAGGGAUUGAGAUCAACGGAGAAAACCUGUCCGACCAGGAGAAUGCUUACGAGAUGACGAGAGAAACAUAACAUUCGUGUCGGCUUUUGGGUAAGGAGAAACUGUAGUACCGUAAAAGGGUCCCCAGAAUGAAGAGCGCAGCAGCGAGUUUUAACAGUAAGACAAAACCUGCCGCUGCCGCUGCGCUAACCAUGCUGGAUGGACCGGAACCUCACCGAAGUUGCAACAGCUUAGAACGCCGAUAUCCGAGGAGCACCAAAGAUGUUUGCCGAUCGCAAAACUAUGGGCAGCCCGCAAGCUGUCGUGUCGUUCGGGAGUAAAAUCUGCAAUGCCGGAUGCCUGAAAUUAAUCAACGAACAAUCCACGUCUACGUUGGCUGGGUCUUACGUACACAGCAAGGAGGAUGUAGAGGAUCAAAUAGAAGAAUAAAAAACCCUUGAAGUCGUCAGUCGUGCGAGUUAUUAUUCAUCGAAACUUACACAGGACUUCACAAGACGCCUCUGGAAAAAGGAGCAUCACAAGGAAUGUUCGUUGGAUGCUUUGCCGAUACGGCCACGGUUAGGAUUCGCUUCGCCUGUUAAGGAAAGGAGAUCUCCCACGUAUUUCUGAUGGAACCCUAGACCAAGCUGUUCUCUGCUAACCUUUUUGAAGCCACAAGCAAACCUCCUAAUGGGACUAGGUCGUACUCCAAGUUACUUAGCCGUUUGUCAGCUGCAGUUCUUCCAACGAGGUUGACGGUUGAGAUGAAUCUUGUACACAACCGUGAUCCGAUGGGCGUCUCCAUUAAAAAUAUGUUCUUGCCGUUGGUCAAGCUUAUUGACAGACUAUCGAACGCUAUCUACAUUUCUUGCGCUUCUGUGUUUGGGUCAACGAUGAAAGCGUUGAGGAGAACGCCAAUCUUGUCAUUCGUCUGUUGAUCCGACGUACGGAAUGCUUGGGUCCUGCGCUUCGUGGUGAAGGUUUGAUGAAGGCUAUCAACGAAGCCAACAAGAUGUCAGAAAAGAUUUCAAGGCGUAGGAAGAAGCAGGAUGAGGCAGAAGAUACGAUCACUGGUCUAGGCUUCUCGCAUCCUCUUUCAGAGAGAUAGACGACGACAAAGAUUACAUGGAUACCAGAGCUGUCGUUCUGUGCUUCUAUUGAACACUGGUGGAUACGUUGUGCACCGGAUGCAUCGGUGAUCAAACAAGGCAAAAACGAAUCAUUGCGAGCUCUGCCAUUCUACGCUCCUUGGUACCGCCGGAAGAUUUUUGAGUAGUUCUGGUUUUGAUAACAUUGACUAACACGUCGAAGGAAGGCCAAAGUCCGACAAAGUCCGCGGUUCCAAAUGGCUCCAGUGAAGUCGGUGGACCCCUUCCAAACAAUUCAAAGUACAAUGACGUCGGCGUGCGUACAGCCGCUUUCAAUGAUUCCUGCGAUCGACGCUUCUGGACGGACCCGAAGGGUGAAUUCGAGAGCAAUGUUGUAAAUACAGGGCCCUAACUGAUGGGUAAAAACGCAGCCGGUGCGACCAGACUUCCAUAGCGAUGCUCACUUCCAUAGCAAUCUCCAGUUCACAUUAAUCUACCAACGUUUCCAACACUGCCGUAAUAAUAAAUUACCUUAAUUAUUACGAAUAAAUAUUUUAGGAUCACUUCAAAACGAACUUUUGAUAGGAAGUCCGGAAAUCCAUUAUACAUCAAUCGACUCAGCUCGAAAAAUUAAUUGAUUGGUGUAUUGCCUAGUUGAUUGCUAAGUUGCUUGAUUGCUUUAUUAGUUGGUUGGUUGCUUGAUUGAUUCGUAGCUUGCUUGAAUGGUAUGGUAUGAAUGGUGGGUUGCUUGAUUCGUUGACUGGUUUGUUGAUUGCUUGCUUGAUUCGUUAGUUGGUUGAAUGAUUGAUUAGUAGGUUGGUUGCUUGAUUGGUUGGUCGGUAGAUUGGUGGGUUGGUCGAUUGGUUGGUUGAUUGGUAGCUUGCUUGACUGGUUGGUGGUUGGUUGCUUGAUUGGUUAGUUGGUUGAAUGGUUGAUUGGUUGGCUGCUUGAUUGGUUGAUUGUUUGUUUAAUUGGAUGGUUAUUUGGUUGAUUGGUUGAUCGGCUGGUUAGUUGAUUAGUUGUUUUGUUGGUUGCUUGAAUGGUUGAUUAAUUAGAUUAAUUGGUGAAAUGGUUA